CUAAUACCGCAUAAUGCAGCGGCAUCGCAAGAUGACAGUUGUUAAAGGAAUUUAUUUCGCUUGAAGAGGAGCUUGCGGCAGAUUAGCUUGUUGGUAAGGUAACGGCUUACCAAGGCUACGAUCUGUAUCCGGUCUAAGAGGACGGUCGGACACACUGACACUGAAUAACGGGUCAGACUCCUACGGGAGGCAGCAGUCGGGAAUUUUGGGCAAUGGGCGAAAGCCUGACCCAGCAACGCCGCGUGAAGGAUGAAGUAUUUCGGUAUGUAAACUUCGAAAGAAUAGGAAGAAUAAAUGACGGUACUAUUUAUAAGCUCCGGCUAACUACGUGCCAGCAGCCGCGGUAAUACGUAGGGAGCAAGCGUUGUUCGGAUUUACUGGGCGUAAAGGGCGCGUAGGCGGCGCGGUAAGUCACUUGUGAAAUCUCUGAGCUUAACUCAGAACGGCCAAGUGAUACUGCAGUGCUAGAGUGCAGAAGGGGCAAUCGGAAUUCUUGGUGUAGCGGUGAAAUGCGUAGAUAUCAAGAGGAACACCUGAGGUGAAGACGGGUUGCUGGGCUGACACUGACGCUGAGGCGCGAAAGCCAGGGGAGCAAACGGGAUUAGAUACCCCGGUAGUCCUGGCCCUAAACGAUGAAUACUUGGUGUCUGGAGUCAUUAUUGCUCCGGGUGCCGUCGCUAACGUUUUAAGUAUUCCGCCUGGGGAGUACGCUCGCAAGAGUGAAACUCAAAGGAAUUGACGGGGACCCGCACAAGCGGUGGAGCAUGUGGUUUAAUUCGA
rnacentral:rRNA from 1 species